rnacentral:rRNA from 1 species
GUCCACGCCGUAAACGAUGAGUGCUAGGCGUCGCGGGUAUUGACCCCCGCGGUGCCGCCGCAAACGCAUUAAGCACUCCGCCUGGGGAGUACGGCCGCAAGGCUAAAACUCAAAGGAAUUGACGGGGGCCUGCACAAGCGGUGGAGCAUGUGGUUUAAUUCGACGCAACGCGAAGAACCUUACCUGGGUUGGAACCCUCUCAAACGUUUUUCCAAGAGAUUGGUGAGUGCCCUUCGGGGAAUGGGAUGUUCAGGUGCUGCAUGGCUGUCGU